GCUAGGACUUCAGAGGGAGAGGA
rnacentral:piRNA from 1 species